rnacentral:tRNA from 1 species
GGGCGUGUGGUCUAGGGGUAUGGCGUCCGCUUCGCAUUGAUCAAAUAGCUGAUUGCGAGCUUGCGGAAGGUCGCGCGUUCGAUUCGCGUCUCGUCCA